CCUACGGGUGGCAGCAGUAGGGAAUAUUGCUCAAUGGGGGAAACCCUGAAGCAGCAACGCCGCGUGGAGGAUGAAGGUUUUCGGAUUGUAAACUCCUUUUGUUAGAGAAGAAAAUGACGGUAUCUAACGAAUAAGCACCGGCCAACUCCGUGACAGCAGCCGCGGUAAUACGGCGGGAGCAAGCGUUACUCGGAAUCACUGGGCGUAAAGAGCGCGUAGGCGGGAUAGCAAGUCAGAUGGGAAAUCCUAUGGCUUAACCAUAGAACUGCAGUUGAAACUGUUAUUCUAGAGUAUGGGAGAGGUAGGUGGAAUGCUUGGUGUAGCGGUGAAAUCCUUAGAGAUCAAGAGGAAUACUCAUUGCGAAGGCGGCCUGCUAGAACAUAACUGACGCUGAUGCACGAAAGCGUGGGUAGCGAACAGGAUUAGAUACCCCUGUAGUC
rnacentral:rRNA from 1 species